GGCUGGUCUGAAGGUGGUGAGUUACCUCAGUUGAUUGUUAACAGUCAGUUACAGAUCCAACUCCUUGUUCUACUCCCUCCCGCUUCCUCAGUAUUGUACUUGACUAGUCUUAA
ensembl:Y_RNA Y_RNA Y RNA